UACUGCAGAAAAGCACGGCUAGCUACGUCCAGCAGCGCGGUAUACGUAGGUGCAAGCGUAUCCGGAUUAUUGGCGUAAGAGCUCGUAGGCGGUUGUCGCGUCUGCUGUGAAACUGGGGGCUCAACCCCCAGCCUGCAGUGGUACGGGCAGACUAGAGUGCGGUAGGGGAGAUUGGAAUUCCUGGUGUAGCGGUGGAAUGCGCAGAUAUCAGGAGGAACACCGAUGGCGAAGGCAGAUCUCUGGGCCGUAACUGACGCUGAGGAGCGAAAGCAUGGGGAGCGAACAGGAUUAGAUACCCUGGUAGUCCAUGCCGUAAACGUUGGGAACUAGAUGUAGGGGCCAUUCCACGGUUUCUGUGUCGCAGCUAACGCAUUAAGUUCCCCGCCUGGGGAGUACGGCCGCAAGGCUAAAACUCAAAGGAAUUGACGGGGGCCCGCACAAGCGGCGGAGCAUGCGGAUUAAUUCGAUGCAACGCGAAGAACCUUACCAAGACUUGACAUAUACGAGAACGGGCUAGAAAUAGUUCACUCUUUGGACACUCGUAAACAGGUGGUGCAUGGUUGUCGUCAGCUCGUGUCGUGAGAUGUUGGGUUAAGUCCCGCAACGAGCGCAACCCUCGUUCUUUGUUGCCAGCACGUAAUGGUGGGAACUCAAAGGAGACUGCCGGGGUCAACUCGGAGGAAGGUGGGGAUGACGUCAAAUCAUCAUGCCCCUUAUGUCUUGGGCUUCACGCAUGCUACAAUGGCCGAUACAAAGGGCUGCAAUACCGCGAGGUGGAGCGAAUCCCAAAAAGUCGGUCUCAGUUCGGAUUGAGGUCUGCAACUCGACCUCAUGAAGUCGGAGUCGCUAGUAAUCGCAGAUCAGCAACGCUGCGGUGAAUACGUUCCCGGGCCUUGUACACACCGCCCGUCAAGUCAUGAAAGUCGGUAACACCCGAAGCCAGUGGCCCAACCGCAAGGAGGGAGCUUUUUUUG
rnacentral:rRNA from 1 species